UACGUAGGCAGCAAGCGUUGUUCGGAAUUACUGGGCGUAAAGAGUGUGUAGGCGGUGUUCUAAGUCUGUUGUGAAAUCUCCCGGCUUAACUGGGAGGGGGCGGCGGAAACUGGAAUGCUAGAGGAUGGGAGAGGUAAGCGGAAUUCCUGGUGUAGCGGUGAAAUGCGUAGAUAUCAGGAGGAACACCUGUGGUGUAGACAGCUUACUGGACCAUUUCUGACGCUGAGACACGAAAGCGUGGGUAGCAAACAGG
rnacentral:rRNA from 1 species